rnacentral:rRNA from 1 species
AUGGCUUCGCAUGCCUACCCUUCCAAGAGACCAUUCCAGAAGAAGUAUUCAGAACACAAUGGUCGGGCCAAGUGGCAAAAGACAAAACAUGCUCCUUCGCAGCAGCCUCAGCUGACAAUACAGCCUGGAGUUCCUCUUAUCCGCAUUCUCUGCCCUACUGAGAAAUGUGGGAAUGUCAUUGGUAAAGGUGGUAGCAUCAUUGCAAAGAUAAGGCAAGAAAACGGAGUGAAAAUCCGGGUUGAUGAAGCAGUCCCUGGUUGCGAUGAGAGAGUUAUUGUCAUAACUACCGCUGAGAAGGACAAAGAAGCUAGCCACGAGCAAGGUAAAGAGAAUGAUGGUGGUACUGCUGUUUCUGCUGAUGGCGAGCAUGAGAAGGAGAAAGACCACAGUAAGGAAGAAAAAGAUGAUUCAGAUAAUGCCCACGGCAAGGAAGAACAAGAUGAUGCAGAGAGAGAUGACAGCAAGGAAGAAAAUGAUGAUUCCUCUGUUGCGAAAACUACAAAGUUGGAGCCAGAGAGGGUAAUACCAUCAGCAAUGAACGCCGUUUUGCAUGUCUUUGAUAGGAUUUUUAUAACUGAAAGUGAAAAUGGAACUGGAGAUGCAUCAGGCCAGAAAACUCCUGUUUCUUUCAGAUUGUUGGUGCUAGAUAGCCAAGUAGGUUCGCUUUUGGGAAUUCGAGGUAGUGUGAUUAAGCAAAUGUCCGCUGAUAGUGGCUGUGAAAUCCGAGUUUCAAAGGAGAAUCUCCCUUUAUGUGCUUUACUCAAAGAUGAACUUUGUCAGAUUAAUGGAGAGCUUGACUCAGUCAGGAAAGGUCUGAAUGCAGUGGCUCAAGUGCUCUUUACUCACCCCCCUAGGGAAAGUGAUGUAGUUCCUGUUGUUCAUCCUUCUGGUUCAUCGUCACGCACCUUCAAUCCCUCAGAUGGUCUUCCUCCAGGAAUGCCACCUAACUUUCAUCUCCCUUUUCAAGGGCCAUCCCAUGCCAGGGGACCUUUUGAUACCAUUGACCAUAGGCCAAAUGUUGCACCUUUCUCAACUUUUCCUGACCAACGCUCAAACAUUCCUCCCUUUUCUGCUUUUCCUGAUGCUCUCAUGCAUGGCAACGCUUCAGUUCCUCCAGAACCUCUCACCUUCAGGCUAUUAUGUUCAAGUGACAAGGUUGGAAGUAUUAUAGGGAAGGGUGGAAACAGUAUCAAGACUAUUCAGAAAGAUACAGGUUGUGAAAUAAAAAUUCUCGAGACUAUUCCAAAGUCAGAUGAUCACAUCAUAAUUAUCUCUGGACCUGCGCAUCCAGGUGAUGGCAUUUCCCCAGCACAGAAUGCAAUUCUGCAUGUGCAGCGUAAAAUUACGCCACCCACCUCUAACAAGGAGGGUCCUGCAAUAUCUAGGCUGAUCGUUUCACCUAACCAAGUUGGCUGCCUCCUUGGCAAAGGUGGCAGUAUCAUAGCUGAAAUGAGGAAGCUGUCAAAAGCUCAUAUAAUAGUGUUGAGCAAAGACAAGAUCCCACGGGGUGUACAAGAAAUUGAUGAAGUUGUUCAGAUAACCGGGGAUUCUGAGGCUAUUCAGGAAGCUCUGAUGCAGAUAACUGCUAGGCUACGUAACAAUCUUUUCCGGGACAGAAUGGCUUCAAUGGGUCCCAGUAUGCAGCCACCUUUUGGUUUGCUGGAUCCUCAGUUUGGUGCAUUUCCGGGAAGCCAUGAAUCUACAUCUCCUAGGAUUUAUCCUAAUGCAUCUCAGUUUCAUAAAGAUUUCAUGGGACGACCAUUGGAUGAGAUGUCUGCUCCUUGGACCACAAAGGGCAUGCAGGAUGUUGGUGAUCCGAUGUCAAUAUCUGGCAUUCCUGGAAUGGCGCACAGAGGAAUGGGUGGAUUUUCUGGUCCUGUUCAUUCAUCUAGGCCAAUCAUAACUGGAAAUAUCAUGGUUCCAAGAUUAGUUAUACCUGCUCUAUGUGGGCAUGAUGGAGGUUGUUUGAAUAUGAUUCGCGAGUUUUCAGGGGCUAAGAUAACAAUCGAUGAACCGCUAGCUGAUUCCAUGGAUACGCCUGUUAUGAUAUCUGGCACACCGGAUCAGAUGCAUGCAGCCCGAAGUCUUGUUCAAGCAUUUGUUCUAAGUGAACCACCUGCCCCAUGA